rnacentral:rRNA from 1 species
GCUCGUAGGUGGUUUGUCGCGUUGUUCGUGAAAACUCACAGCUUAACUGUGGGCGUGCGGGCGAUACGGGCAGACUAGAGUACUGCAGGGGAGACUGGAAUUCCUGGUGUAGCGGUGGAAUGCGCAGAUAUCAGGAGGAACACCGGUGGCGAAGGCGGGUCUCUGGGCAGUAACUGACGCUGAGGAGCGAAAGCGUGGGGAGCGAACAGGAUUAGAUACCCUGGUAGUCCACGCCGUAAACGGUGGGUACUAGGUGUGGGUUUCCUUCCUUGGGAUCCGUGCCGUAGCUAACGCAUUAAGUACCCCGCCUGGGGAGUACGGCCGCAAGGCUAAAACUCAAAGAAAUUGACGGGGGCCCGCACAAGCGGCGGAGCAUGUGGAUUAAUUCGAUGCAACGCGAAGAACCUUACCUGGGUUUGACAUGCACAGGACGCCAGUAGAGAUAUUGGUUCCCUUGUGGCCUGUGUGCAGGUGGUGCAUGGCUGUCGUCAGCUCGUGUCGUGAGAUGUUGGGUUAAGUCCCGCAACGAGCGCAACCCUUAUCUUAUGUUGCCAGCGCGUAAUGGCGGGGACUCGUGAGAGACUGCCGGGGUCAACUCGGAGGAAGGUGGGGA